UGAGUAAUGUCUGGGAAACUGCCUGAUGGAGGGGGAUAACUACUGGAAACGGUAGCUAAUACCGCAUAACGUCGCAAGACCAAAGUGGGGGACCUUCGGGCCUCAUGCCAUCAGAUGUGCCCAGAUGGGAUUAGCUAGUAGGUGAGGUAAUGGCUCACCUAGGCGACGAUCCCUAGCUGGUCUGAGAGGAUGACCAGCCACACUGGAACUGAGACACGGUCCAGACUCCUACGGGAGGCAGCAGUGGGGAAUAUUGCACAAUGGGCGCAAGCCUGAUGCAGCCAUGCCGCGUGUAUGAAGAAGGCCUUCGGGUUGUAAAGUACUUUCAGUGGGGAGGAAGGCGUUAAGGUUAAUAACCUUGGCGAUUGACGUUACCCGCAGAAGAAGCACCGGCUAACUCCGUGCCAGCAGCCGCGGUAAUACGGAGGGUGCAAGCGUUAAUCGGAAUUACUGGGCGUAAAGCGCACGCAGGCGGUCUGUCAAGUCGGAUGUGAAAUCCCCGGG
rnacentral:rRNA from 1 species